AGGCCUGCGGACGCCCGGCUCUGCGGCCCGCACGGCCCGGCCCGGCCGCGCUCCUGCGAGGAAACGGCGUCUCCGAACUUCGUCGGAGGCCACAGCAGGCAUCUUGGCCUCGCGGCCGGGGAUCUGAGAGAGGAACGCAGGACCCGAGGAAACUUUGUAAGCGGGAGCCGGCGAGUCCUCGGCCGGCGUGUGGAGAUCCGCAUUCCCGGCUCCGUGUCCGUGGUCGGGACACCUGUUUGUGGAGUGCCCCAACUUCAAGUUUUAAUCGCUUGACUCUUCGAGAGAGAGAGAGAGAGAGAGAGAGAGAGAGAGAGAGAUGAGGAAUUUCAUACAAGAGGGGAGGGGGGUGGGGCGGCGAGAAGACCGGCCCUGAGGUACACGUUACACUUUCGGAGAAGGAGCCCCAGUGUGAUCGACUGAACAUUGGAUUUGGUCGCUGAUUCCCAUCCCUCAGGUGGGCUUUGUGACCUGAGGCAACCUAGGUAACCUCUCUGAGUCUCACACUGCACGGUCUUUAAUAAAAGGCCGCGGGGCUGCAUCUCUGAGGCCUCUUCUGGUCUCUUCUGGUCCUGACAUUCUUUGACGUGCGUUUACAAGACUCUUGUCCCUGUUUGUGCUUAUAGGUUUCCCAGUAAUCCUGCUAAAGAGAAUCUGUAGGUGCAGGCUCUGAACUUCAGUCAGGUGAGACUGAGCUUAUUGCGGUGUUAGAAUCACUGAAAAGCACUCAUGAAUCGUAGGAGGACUAACCACAAACAAGAGGCGGCUCAUCCCUCCGGAGACAAGACUCCUAAAACUCACUCCACAGCACAUACAGUAAAAGGACAAAAACAAACAUGAAGCCAAUGUAUAGUCCUAACAGCUACGUAACAGGCAAGCACCUCAGAAGCAGCUUUAAAAGGAUAUGGAUGUCCAGGGGACAAUUUUCACCCUUUCUCUAGUAAGUUUUGAGGAAAUGUCUCAGAAGAUGGAGACUGAGGAAAAUUUUGUACAGGAGGCACAUAGGAGGGGAAGCCCAUCCUCCUCCCCACCCUUCAGCAGCUAGAAUGCAAGCUCCCUGCAGGCAGGAAUUUCAUCCAGUUCACUACUGUCUCCUCUGGUCCCUAACAAUGAUGGGCAAGUGUUCAACAUUUUCUGUUGUUGUUGAAUGAACGUGUGAAUUAGACUGAAAAUGGCUCUGGGAUGACAGGAUUGACGGUUUUGUUGAGUGUGAUAAAGCCUAAGCUAAUUUUAUGAUAAAGCAAAACCCUAUACCUUACAGGGUGUUGAGAGAUGUACUUUGGAAAUAUCAGCCAAUAUGGAAAUGUAGAGUUUUCUUUAUAUAAACCUAAGUGCGAGGAGAGUGGUUGAGCAAAAUCAUUGCUGAGAGAUUUUGAAUUCUUUAUUGUAAUUCCCUAAAGGUAGACACUCAGAAAUAAUAUGUAAAUCAAGAGAAGCGAAUUGGCCGGUUUCUAACGAUUUAUCAAGAAUAAAAAGACCAUCUU
rnacentral:lncRNA from 1 species